UACGUAGGCAGCGAGCGUUGUUCGGAGUUACUGGGCGUAAAGAGUGCGUAGGCGGUUAGCCAAGUUUGGUGUGAAAUCUCCCGGCUCAACUGGGAGGGUGCGCCGAAAACUGGUUAGCUAGAGUAUGGGAGAGGAAAGCGGAAUUCCUGGUGUAGCGGUGAAAUGCGUAGAUAUCAGGAGGAACACCUGUGGUGUAGACAGCUUUCUGGACCAUAACUGACGCUGAGGCACGAAAGCGUGGGUAGCAAACAGG
rnacentral:rRNA from 1 species